CUUUUUAUUUACAUCAUAUGUGAUGUAAUUCUACAGAUUGUUUGGUAGUGCGAAAUAUUACAUGUCACAGAAAAUUACAUGUCACAGAAAAUUGCAAAAACUGAAUCCUUAACAACUCUGAAGAUUGAAGAAUUGAAUCUUACAUGACACGGAACACGAUUUUCUAUUGUAUUUUAGAAAUGGUUGAAUCCUUGACAGCACUGAAAAUGAAAAAAAAACAAACACGAAAGCAAGUCGUAAGUUUUUUGACCUGUCGGAUGUUUGCGCUGCCGUGUUGUUUGAUUGUGCGUUCAUUGUGGAAUGAUUCGCAAAGUCCGUUCCGGGAAAGACUCCGCCAGAUGGAAAUGGUGACGAUCGUAGCCAUGGUUGGCAAAAGUGGCAGAUAAAAAAAAGUGGCAAAAGUGGCAGGCAAUUUCAAAUGUCGGGCCAGGUAUUGUGGAGGUUAAACAAAUUUCUAAGGGUUAAAAACGUUGGGACCAGCAAUAAACUUUUACCAAAGAGAAGUUUGUUGAAAGAAACACUAUUUGUACUGAGUUGUGAUGUGAAAAAAUAGUAAAAAAAUAGGUUUAAAAUAAAUGUAAUCUGGUGUGUACAAAAA